rnacentral:rRNA from 1 species
UGGGUAACCUGCCUCAAAGAGGGGAAUAGCCUCCCGAAGGGGAGAUUAAUACCGCAUAAUAUGUUUAAGUCGCAUGACUUUAACAUCAAAGGAUUUUCUUUUAGAAAUUCCACUUUGAGAUGGACCCGCGGCGCAUUAGCUAGUUGGUGAGGUAACGGCUCACCAAGGCAACGAUGCGUAGCCGACCUGAGAGGGUGAUCGGCCACAUUGGAACUGAGACACGGCCCAGACU